CACGGGGGGAGCAAGCGUUGUUCGGAAUCACUGGGCGGAAAGGGCGUGUAGGCGGUCAGGUAAGUGGGAUGUGAAAUGCCUCGGCUCACCCGAGGACCUGCAUCCCAAACUGCUUGGCUUGAGUAUGGGAGAGGAUGAGGGAAUUCCUGGUGUAGCGGUGAAAUGCGUAGAUAUCAGGAGGAACACCGGUGGCGAAGGCGCUCAUCUGGCCCAAUACUGACGCUGAGGCGCGAAAGCUAGGGGAGCAAACGGG
rnacentral:rRNA from 1 species